rnacentral:rRNA from 1 species
CUGGCUCAGGACGAACGCUGGCGGCAUGCCUAACACAUGCAAGUCGAACGGAGUAAUGACUUCGGUUAUACUUAGUGGCGAACGGGUGAGUAACACGUGAAUAAUCUGCCCUGUACGAUGGGAUAACAGCUGGAAACGGCUGCUAAUACCGUAUAUGACCACGCCGAGGCAUCUCGGAGGGGUGAAAGCGCUUAAGCGGUACAGGAUGAGUUCGCGUCCAAUUAGCUAGUUGGUGAGGUAACGGCCCACCAAGGCGACGAUUGGUAGCCGACCUGGGAGGGUGAUCGGCCACACUGGAACCGAGACACGGCCCAGACUCCUACGGGAGGCAGCAGUAGGGAAUCUUCCGCAAUGGACGAAAGUCUGACGGAGCAACGCCGCGUGAAGUGAUGAAGGUCUUCGGAUCGUAAAACUCUGUUGUCAGGGAAGAACAAGUUGUGUUCUAACAGGACAUGACCUUGACGGUACCUGACCAGAAAGCCCCGGCUAACUACGUGCCAGCCGCGGC